rnacentral:lncRNA from 1 species
AUGUGUGUGUGCGUUCAUGCGCGCACGCGUGUAUUUGUGUGUGUGUGUGUGUGUGUGUGUGUGUGUGUGUGUGUGUGUUGGACCACUAGGACAACAUGGUACUUCUUCUACAUUCUUUUCUUACUACUUUCUUCUUCCUUACUUUCUUCUUUUUCUGUCCUCACCCUACAAUCUUCCACUUCCUUUCUUUUUCCCCUUCUGGAGAAACCUACAAAAUUGGCAUUGGAAGAAUUUCUCCUAGAUCUAUUCAAAGCCAGUUUUCUGGACUUCAGAUCAGAGUGUUGCCAUUUAUCUGAAAGAAUACACCCAAAGUCAAGGCUAUAAUGACUCAGCCCCUUAACCGCCUGGACUAUCAACUAUGACUAAAGGACUCAGGCACUCCAAAAGACUCCUAGUAGGAGUUUUCUCUAAUUAAAUCUGUUUCAUAGAAGAUGACCACUGUCCCAACUCUCUCAACUGAAGAUAAAUAAAAGGAACUGAAUUAAAGACA